AUUGAACGCUGGCGGCAGGCCUAACACAUGCAAGUCGAGCGGAUGAAGGGAGCUUGCUCCUGGAUUCAGCGGCGGACGGGUGAGUAAUGCCUAGGAAUCUGCCUGGUAGUGGGGGAUAACGUCCGGAAACGGGCGCUAAUACCGCAUACGUCCUGAGGGAGAAAGUGGGGGAUCUUCGGACCUCACGCUAUCAGAUGAGCCUAGGUCGGAUUAGCUAGUUGGUGGGGUAAAGGCCUACCAAGGCGACGAUCCGUAACUGGUCUGAGAGGAUGAUCAGUCAACCUGGAACUGAGCCACGGUCCAGACCCCUACGGGCGGCAGCGGUGGGGAAUAUUGGACAAUGGGCGAAAGCCUGAUCCAGCCAUGCCGGGGGUGUGAAGAAGGUCUUCGGUUUGUAAAGCACUUUAAGUUGGGAGGAAGGGCAGUAAGUUAAUACCUUGCUUUUUUGACGUUACCAACAAAAUAAGCACCGGCUACCUUCGU
rnacentral:rRNA from 1 species